rnacentral:rRNA from 1 species
AAAAUAGCUUUAAGGGGCUAAAUAAAAUAAAGAAAAUUACUAAUUAAAAUAUGGUAAAAGGAACUCGGCAAAUAAACCUGGCCUCGCCUGUUUAACAAAAACAUCACUAAGAGAGAUUUGCUCUUAGCAGUACCUGCCCAGUGCAUAAUAUUGUAAACGGCCGCCCUAGCGUGAGGGUGCCAAGGUAGCGAAAUUCCUUGCCUUUUAAUUGUAGGCCUGCAUGAAUGGAUUGACGAGGGCCAUUCUGUCUCUUGCCUUAUGAAGUGAAAUUGGAUUAAAGGUGAAGAUACCUUUAUUAAAAAGUUAGACAAGAAGACCCCGUGCAGCUUUUAAAAAAUCCUUUAUUAAGAAAGGUAGAUUUUUAGGUGGGGCGCCUAGGAAGUAAAACUUAACCUUCUGUGUAAUUUUGUUUGUUGAUAACUCUCUAGUAUAGACCCGGUAAAAUCCGAUCGUAGGAGAAGUUACGCCGGGGAUAACAGGCUUAUCCAUUAGUAGAGCUCGUAUUGGCUAAUGGGAUUGGCACCUCGAUGUUGAAUUAGGGACAAUAACUUUAAGGCGUAGAAGCUUUAAGAGUGGGUCUGUUCGACCUUUAAUACCCUACGUGAUUUGAGUUCAGACCGGCGUAAGCCAGGUCGGUUUCUAUCUUCUUUUAGAACUUUUUUUGGCUUGUACGAAAGGACUGCUGAAAGAGGAAGUUUCCUUAAUUUUAGAAUUGUCUCUAAAAAAAGUUAAGAUACUUAAAAUAAGCUUUUAAAAGAUGCCGGUUUAGAUUUCCGGAUUUA